ACCCCAGGUCAGCGGGACUACCGCU
rnacentral:rRNA from 1 species